CAAGCCUAAAGAGGCCCAUGCUCAUGGAGCUAAAAGGGCAUUGCAAUGGCAACAUGUUGCUCUUUGGGAACAGGAAAAGGAUACAACCAGUAGUAGGCAUUCCGGGGACCUCUGACAGAUGGAGUCUUGCUCUGUCGCCCAGGCUGGAGUGCAGUGGCGUGAUCUCGGCUCAUUGAAAGCUCUGCCUCCCGGGUUCACGCCAUUCUCCUGGCUCAGCCUCCCGAGUAGCUGGGACUACAGGCACCCACCACCACACCCGGCUAAUUUUUUUGCAUUUUUAGUAGAGACGGGGUUUCACCGUGUUAGCCAGGAUGGGCUCGAUCUCCUGACCUCCUGAUCCGCCUGCCUUGGCCUCCCAAAGGGCUGGGAUUACAGGUGUGAGCCACCGCGCCCGGCCCAAAUUCUUAUUUUUUCAUUUACUUCGGGCCCUCAUUCUUAUUUUUCAUUUAAUUUGAUGUAUUUCACUAUUGCUUUCAUAUGCAUUUCCCUGAUUACUAAUAAAUUCAUAUGUCUUUUUUAUG
rnacentral:lncRNA from 1 species